ensembl:lncRNA
UUACUGAUUUAUUGGUGUGUGGUUAUAUUAAAAUCUCCUAUCAAGCCCCUGUAAAAGAAUUCUGUUGUUGCACUUCUUCAUAAUUGGGAUUCUUCUAAUCUAUUAAGUCGUUCUGGUGCUAGUUUGAUUAACAUUGUGUUUCGGUGGGGACUAGAUUUAGACAUGUGAAAUAAAUCUGUCAUUUUCAUGGACAAUGAAAAUAAAUUUGGGGGAUUUCUGUCCAAAAUAAUCAAUUUUUUUCCUUGGUUGUCUGUCUGAUACAGUAUCUGUUUUUCUGGAUCAUCAAAGAUGCAAAAUAUUUCUAUGCUAGUGAUUUUUAGUUACUUCAUUUAAAGUAUUUAGCAGCAAUGUUUUUGCAAAUUUGUCACACAGUUGUCCAUAUCACAAAACUGUAAAGAUAUGGUCAUCUGAAAAGGGGGGAAAAAAGAUAACAAGACUCUUUCCAAAUUUUUUUUUUUUUUUUUUGUAAUUCUUCUGUGUAUGUUUGGGGUUUAGUGACAGGUUCCUUUUUUGUUCCCAGCUAUUCCACAAGAAGGAACAGCCCUGAGAAUGGCAAAGUAAAUCUGCAGUACCCAAAGAGCACAACAUCCAGAACACUGACGGUCAAUGGGAAUGUCCAGACAUCCCAUUAUGCCUACAAAAUGGAAGACACUGGACUGAUUUGUGCAGUAAGAAAAAAAAAUUGGGUAACAAAGAGAGAGAAAAAAUAAAGAUGAGAACUGUUGCCAUGUUCCCUCGUUGCAGUUCUCCCACCCCUUCAUAGUUUCUAAGAAUGCUCUGCAGGAGCAGCUGAAGAGAAGCUGGCAACACAAACGCAACACAUCAAGUGGCGAGUGAGAAGAGUUACCAGAUAUGUAAAUAGUUGGUUAUUAUAUUUUUUGAUAUAUAAAUAUUGCUGUCCAGAAGUUCCAAACCUAGCAAAGGACAAGUAAUGAACAUCUUCAACACUAAACCACUAAAUUAGAUAUGACGUUAAUAGCAACCAUUUAAUGUAGUUUGGCUCUGCUUUGAUGGCCAUUUUAAUUAGAUUGCUGCUGUGCUGAACUGAAAAGCUGCUGACAGCUUCAGAAAACUAUGGCUUGCAAUACAGAAUCUCACAUGAUGUUGUUGGAUCCCAAUUUGCAUGUAUAACUAAUGAGGUACGUCUCUCUUUGGGCAGCUCUUAGAGGACUGUAAUUUGAUUCGGAUGUCAGGCAAACACAUGGGCAUUCACCACCAACUCCCUGGCCUAUGAUCUGAGUACUAAGGACUAUUCCUUUGAUGGGCUCCAGCGGUGGGACGCUGCAACUGCUGUAACAAUUGCUGCCUUAUUAUGAGGUUAAUAGCUACUUGGUCUGUUGAUUUAAAUGUCAAAUGCUUGUCACCACGUGUGUGGACAAGAAGAUUAGAUGAAUUUUAAUAGUAAAGAGGGGAAGUACUACAAAUACCUCUCAACAGCAAUCAAAAUCCCAGCAGAACAAAAACCUUGCACAAGAAAUAGUAUCCCAUGCAAUUAGUUUGAUCUCAAAUGUAGGACAUCAUCCCUUCUGUAACUUUGUAGAAGAACUAAAGAAGUUAAAGUCCAGCUUCCCUUGAACUCCACAGGAAAAGAGGAAGGAGAAAAAUGACUGCAUUAUGGAAUCAUAGACAUCAAAUACAUCAAAAGGGAAAAGCACCGUAACUUCAGGUUUUCAUUUAUAUGUCUAGUCACUAGCUGAU